CACGUAGGGGGCAAGCGUUGUCCGGAUUUAUUGGGCGUAAAGAGCUCGUAGGCGGCUUAGUAAGUCGGGUGUGAAAUCCCGAGGCUCAACCUCGGGUCUGCAGUCGAUACGGGCAAACUUGAGUGUUGCAGGGGAGACUGGAAUUCCUGGUGUAGCGGUGAAAUGCGCAGAUAUCAGGAGGAACACCGGUGGCGAAGGCGGGUCUCUGGGCAACAACUGACGCUGAGGAGCGAAAGCGUGGGGAGCGAACAGG
rnacentral:rRNA from 1 species